UACAUAAUACGGAAAAUAGGCCACCAUUCACUUUUAUACUGUCCAACCUAAUCUUUUACUUUCCCUGCCUCAUUUUUUUACAAUGAUAUCCUAAAUUUUAUUUUAUUUUUCUUUUGCAUGUUUAUUCUUAUUCUCUCAGUUAGGAAUUUUUCCUUUUCUCUCCACGAUUUCUUCUUCUCACGAUCUCCAUUAAUCCAUUUUCACUCAUUUUGCUUAAAUCUCACCAAACGCGUACUGAAUUGUUUGUCCGUCUUCACCAUCCUUACACCGACGUUACCGUUCCGUCUUCACCAUUUUUGCUGCCGCAGCCAGUCCGUCUUCACCAUCCUUCCAUCGUUGUUUUGCUUCUGCCGCCGUUCUGCCUUCACCUGCGAUUCCGACGAGUCUAGUUCAUGGGGUUAAGUUUGCAAGUUGAUGAAUCUAUCACGGGUCUGGACAAUCACGUUUCUCCCGUGGUCAAGCAGGUUUUCGCUUAAGCAUACUCAAAUUUUCGCAACUAUGUUGCAAUAAAAUAUUUAUGUUGGUGAAGAAUUGACUGAGGAGAAUGCACUAAAGCAGCGUACUACAGUCGAAGAUGCUAAGGAAGUAUUAGACAACGUGAAAAUAGUGUUGAAAGCAUGUUAAAUAUUAGAAUUUUUAUAUUUAGUGUUAUUUAGUAUAUACUUGCCUUUUUGAUGUUAGAAUGAAUUUUAGUUUUAGUUCAGCCAUUUUAUUUUUCAUGUUGUAUUAAUUAAGUACUUGAUUCUGUUAAUUUUUCUUUAAUAGAAUUCAGUUGUUUGUAA